rnacentral:rRNA from 1 species
GACGAACGCUGGCGGCGUGCCUAAUACAUGCAAGUAGAACGCUGAAGAGAGGAGCUUGCUCUUCUUGGAUGAGUUGCGAACGGGUGAGUAACGCGUAGGUAACCUGCCUUGUAGCGGGGGAUAACUAUUGGAAACGAUAGCUAAUACCGCAUAACAAUGGCUGACACAUGUCAUUUAUUUGAAAGGGGCAAUUGCUCCGCUACAAGAUGGACCUGCGUUGUAUUAGCUAGUAGGUGAGGUAAUGGCUCACCUAGGCGACGAUACAUAGCCGACCUGAGAGGGUGAUCGGCCACACUGGGACUUGGACAAGGCCCAGACUUCUACGGGAGGCAGGAGGAGGGAAUCUUCGGCCAGGGGGGCAACGCUGACCGAGCAAAGCCGCGUGGGGGAAGAAGGGUUUCGGAGCGUAAAGCUCUGUUGUAAGUGAAGAACGGGUGUGAGAGUGGAAAGUUCACACUGUGACGGUAGCUUACCAGAAAGGGACGGCUAACUACGUG